UACAAGAUUUUUGCUUAUUUGAGGGAGUAUUUUAGUGAAGGUUUUUAAAAACCUCCACAAUACAUCUUAUUUAUGGCAAUUUAAAAAAUCUCCACUAAUAAUUAAUUAAAAUUAAGAUUUGAAACAAAACCUAAAUUUCCCUUUUUUUUCAACACGAGAGACUGCGUUAGCUCAGAGAGAAAGAGAGCUUCUACAUCGAGAAUUUCGUUCACCAUCCACUGUCAUCGGCUUCAAACAAAACCGCCAUUUUCGCCGUUGUUUCCGCUGCCAUUUCCGCCGCCGGCACCAUUACCACUGCUGUGUCCGUUGCGGUAGAGAGCUUCUGGAUCGAGAGCUUCUGAAUUUAAGAAGGGAAGUUUCGAAGAAGCUUAGAAUUCAACAAUCUAUCAUACUCAGCAUACUUGAGAUUCCUUUUUGUUAGUUAUUAUACUAAAGCUUUUGUUCUUUUUCAUAGUUAUAUAAUCCUAAAUUUUUAUUUUUUAUUUUUAUAAUAAUUCCCUUUUGGAGUUUGAACCUUUCAUGCGUUCUCUUUAGCCCAAUUUAGCGUUUCAUUUCAUUCAUUCAUUCUCACCCGUUCGGCCAUUCAACGAGGGUUUUGGGUUCAUUUGGCGAAUACUGGGGUUUUGUUUUUAGGAAACAUUGUCGUUUGUUUUGAUCAAUUUAUUAUUGAGUCUCACUAGAUUUUGUUGACUUUGGAUUUGAGACUGCAAAUAAUAACACAUCAAUGGUUUAAGAUAGAAUAUAGAUUAAGGGUGAGAGAUUUUGCAUGUGAAAUUUGUGAGAUAAGAAAACUGGAGUUGCUGCUGGAUCAGGUUGUUUAGUAUUUGUUCUGUUCUAUUGGUUUAGAGGGGGAAAAGAGAGCCAAUUUUGGGUAACAUGCUGGGAGAUUUGAUACUCAAGUAUAUUUUUAAGCUUCUGUCAUGUUCAUAAAGGUUAAUGCUACUUUUAGGAGGGAUUGUUAUUGUUGUGAGGAUGAGUUUAUGUAAUGAAUCUUGUGUAUUGUCAUCCAAGAUGUUGGUAUGCAAAUGAGUCUCAACUAUUGUAUUUGGACUUGUUUUAACAAAAUUCAAUCUUCAUCUCUCUUCAUUAUAUCUAUUUAUUUAUCGAUAAUAUUAAUUAAGAUCCGGUAGUAUGCAGUUAAAAACAUUGGCUUUAUUUUGUAAAACCAUUAUAAAUAGGAUGAUUGAAAACUUUGGUUCACGAGUGCCUUUCCUUCAUCUUCAACUCUUAUCCCUGAAUAUCAGGUUCCUCAUACAUGUGGCCAAGGUUAUAGGCUUGCGGGGGACUAGUCUACUCAAGGUCCAUGUUGCAUGUUAUUUCCUUUUAAUUAUGUUUAUUUGAUUCUAUAUUUUUGUCUACUAAAAAGUUAAAACAAUUAAUUCUUGCUAUGUAUUAUGGUCAAGUUUAUCCUUGGUUGCUGAGCAUUUCUCAGAUGCUCCUUUCACCAAGUGUUAUUUAGCAAUGUCACAUUUUUCUCACUAAUUAUUUUAGUGCAUACCUAUUACCCUUAGAUAUCAAAAUUAAGGUGUAGCAACACCGCUAAUCAUCUUAGAAAUGAUAAUACAGUUUCCCAUUUCUGUGCCUUAGCCUCCUCAUCUUUUUGUGUUUGUUUGCUUCUCCUCACUGACCACUUUUUUAGUCAUUGUCUCUGUUCAUAAUCUCUAUUACUCCACCAUUCUCAUUCAGGCUGUCCCCUUCCCCUUUUCUAUGAUUCCACGGGGAUAAAGUUGGUGAAUCCACUGGGUAAGGAUCUAAAAAUGCCUCUUUUUCCACCUACCUAAAGUAUUAAGAAAGAAUAAGACAAAUAAAAAUGAAACUUCAAAGAUUAGCAAGUAGAACAAGAUUAUAUCAUAGAGGUUCUAAAGGAUUGCUCAAACAAGUUAUUUUGAAGCUUUGAAGGAAACAGUGAGUGUUGUCUUAAUUCUCUUUUCUCCUUUUAUUUUAAUGUUUUAUAGAGGCAUAAAUCAAGAACCUAGUUAGUUAUUGGUUAGGAAUGUGAUAGUGCCAUUUUCUGCAGAUCUCAUACAAAUGUGUUUUAUUGUGGUUUGACAAGGCUCUUUUUUUAAGCAUUAUCGCAUCAUUUAGGGAGUUUACACUUCCUUGUAAUUCACCUAAGUAUUAAAUAAAUAAUAAAGCCUUUUUGAUCUCAAAAUAUAACCUGCAGGCAUCUCUUGAGUAUUGUGAUUCUAAUGCUGGAUGGGUUUUUAAAAAUUCCAAUAGCGAUUCAUCCUCAACUACAUCAGUUUGGCCUCUCUUCCAAACCAACUCAUCUCAUUGCACUAGCUCUCUUUCAGCAGAAGAGCAAGCCAAUGUGGCAGUGCAGCAAUUUAAUUAAAUAUUUACGUUUUUAUUUUAGAAAAUUUUGAUCCACUUAAUAAGAUACCUUUUUUAGGGGAGCAUUUAAAACAUAACAGGAGAGGCCGAGCUGUUGAACACAAAACAAACGUUUUCUGGAUUUUUAAUUUAGUAGUAUAGAAUUAAAAGAUUGAGAGAAAAGAUAGAAAGCUGGGUCUAAAACCUUUUUUGACUGCUUUUGUUUGCUUGAGAUCCUAUACAGCUGUAAUGUAAAAGCAUAUCUCCCAACUCUAUCUAUAAGCAACCAAUUAUCAAAAGAAAAAAAAAGAAGAGUCUUCUGUGGCGUUUGAAAUAUCUAUUAACUGAGUGUCACUGCAAUAAUCUCUAUCAUUACUCAAAAUUAAAUUCAUAAUGUUAGUAUUGUUAUUAUUUGCAAGAGGGAUAGCUUCAUAACUCACAGGGCAUUUUGUGAUCCAUUGGCAGAAGAAACAGCUAGGGUAAAUGCAGCAUCAAGCAUUAACAACUCAAUUCAUAGAAUUACAUGCUAAAGCAUUUGCUUAGGUUUCUUCUGUUUCUGGGAUUAAAGUGGGUACUGAUUUUUCUCUCACCAGUUUCUUGCUAUUGCUUUUCAACAAGUGCUUGUUGAGGUAAGAUAAUAAUUAUAUCCUGUUUUGUUUUAAAUAUGUUAGAAGUCUAUUAUAGCUUUGUAGUUUAUUAUGUUAGAAGUUCCAGAUAUAUUUUUUAGUAGUAUACAUGUCUAGUAAUUAUUUUUUCAUACUUGAAGUUUAACUAGAAACAAUGGAUAAAUCUUGGAUUGCUAAGCCACGAAACUCAGAUGAAUACAUAGUCAGUCUAGAAAACUUCUUGGAUUUUGAAUUUCAACAUGGAGCAAUUGAGAAUAGUAAGAUAAUAUGUUCAUGUCCAAGUUGUGGGUUUUGCAAAUGGCAUGCUCGAAAAGAUGUUAGAGAUCAUUUACUUUACAAACUAUUCCCUAAGAAUUAUGUUGUAUGGAACUUUCAUGACGAGAAAGAAGUAACCAAAUUCUCAACAAGUGCACAUGUCAUGCGCGAGACAUUGGCAACUGAACAUCCCCUAUAUAACAUGAUAAAUGAUGCUUUCGGGAUACAUAUGGAUCAAGAGAGCGGUGAGGAUUCAGGAACGGAAGAUUUUGUAAACGAUGAGCCAAGAGAAAAUCGUAGAGACUUUGAUGAGUUUCUCAAGGAAGGCAAUCAAAAGCUACAAGAAGGAAGCGACUUCACAAAGCUAGAAUUCAUAGUCAAAUUGUAUCAUAUUAAAGUCUUGUGUGGACUAAGUGACAAGGCCAUUACCAUGAUACUUGAGUUGGUGAGGGAUGCUUUUAGUUGUGUGAAUUUGCCUACGAAUUUUGAUCAGGAAAAGAAACUAAUUUGAAAACUAAGUCUUGACUAUGUUAAGAUAGAUGCUUGCCCCAAUGAUUGUAUGUUGUUCGAGGAUGAAGACCCAAACAACAUCCAACAAACAUGCAGUCAUUGUGGUGCUUCUAGGUGGAAUUCUAAGAAGAAGAAAAAGAAAAACCAAGCUGCCAAGGUUUUGAGAUACUUUCCGUUGAAACCAAGGUUGCAAAGAUUGUUCUUGUGUCGUAAAACUGCAGAGCAUAUCUUAUGGAAUGCAACAGCGAAGGGAGAAAAUGACAAAAUGGUGCAUCCAGGGGAUGGUGAGGCAUGGAAGACUUUUGAUUUGACACACAGAGAGUUUGGAUUGCAACCUAGAAAUGUUCGCUUAGGACUUGCUAGUGAUGGUUUCAAUCCUUAUAGAUCAAUGAGUUCUGCUCAUAGCAUUUGGCAUGUGUUUCUGAUUCCAUAGAAUCUUCCUCCUUGGAUGUGUAUGAAACAUACUUCCUUUAUUCUAUCAAUGGUUAUACUUGGCAAGCAUAGUCCCGGAAAUAAUAUAGACAUAUAUCUUAAACCACUUGUCAGAGAGUUCAAAGAAUUAUGGGAUAAGGGUAUGGAAAUUUAUGAUGCAUCAGAACAUAAAAUGUUUAAGAUUCAUGCAGCUCUUAUAUGGAUAGUUAGUGAUUUUCUUGGCCUAAGCAUGCUCUCCAGAUGGAACACAUAUACUGGUUUGGCUUGCCCAACUUGUAAUUUUGAUGCAAAACCUUGUUAUCUUAAUCAUAGCAAAAAAUGGUGUUAUAUAGGUCAUCAAUGUUUUCUUGGUAGACAACAUCGAUUCAGGUUAAGUAGAGUUCGUUUUGAUGGACACACAGAAGAACGUGAUCCCCUGGCUAAAUUAUCAAGAUCCGAAAUUCUGGCACAUGUAGAAAAUCUUGAUGAUACAUUCGGGAAGAAAGAAAAGUUGAACAAGAAAGAAAAAAGGGGUAGGCAAGCAACUAUGCAGUGGAGAAAGAGAAACAUCUUUUUUUGAACUUCCAUAUUAGAAAACCAACUUGUUGCCUCAUAACCUUGACUUUAUGCACAUUGAGAAAAAUGUAUGCGAUAAUAUUUUGUAUACAUUACUCAAUGAGAAAUCUAAAGCAAAAGAUAAUCUCAAUGCCCGAAAAGAUCUACAAGACAUGGGGAUAAGGCAUUAUCUUUGGCCAGAUGAUAAUGGAAAAUAUCACCUUGCUUUGUAUUCACUAACACGAGAUGCUAAAAAGGUCUUUCUUGCAACUUUGAAGAAUGUUAGGGUGCCCGAUGGUUACAACAAAAAAUCAUUAGACUUAAAAGUCAUGACUGUCAUAUUUUGAUUGAGCAGUUGCUUCCACUAGUAAUCCGUAAUGUGCUACCAAACCAAGUUACCUCAGUUUUGAUAGAGUUCUGCUCAUUUUUUAGAAUUCUUUGUGGUAAGAGUCUAGGUCGUACAAAACUUGAUAAGCUCCAAGAUCGCAUUGUGAUUACUCUUUUCCAUUUGGAAAUGUUAUUUCCUCCAUCAUUCUUCACCGUUAUGGUGCAUCUAACAGUCCAUCUUAUUGAGGAAGCAAAACUUGGGGGGCCAGUCCAUUAUCGAUACAUGUAUCCCAUUGAAAGGUACAAUAAUGCUUUCCCUUUUUAAAAUAAAAAUUCAUUUGAUGAAAUUGUAGUACACUGACAAUUCAUCCAUGUAGGGAAUUGGGACACUUGAAGUCCUUUGUACGAAAUAAAGCACAUCUAAAAGGUUCUAUUGCUGAGGGUUAUUUAGAUGAAGAGUCUCUUACUUUUUGUUCUCGGUAUAUUGAUGACAUGGAGACUAGAUUUAACAGGCCUAGUUGAUAAACUACUAUUUUAUGGUUCAUCUUGUACUCAAUUGAGUAGAUUUUAUCAAUCUUUCAUACACGUAUUCAUAUGAUUUGCAUGAGUUUAUGUUUUCCUUCCUGAUUUUGUGCUA